UACGGGGGGGGCAAGCGUUGUUCGGAAUUACUGGGCGUAAAGGGCUCGUAGGCGGCCAACUAAGUCAUACGUGAAAUCCCUCGGCUUAACCGGGGAACUGCGUCUGAUACUGGAUGGCUUGAGUUUGGGAGAGGGAUGCGGAAUUCCAGGUGUAGCGGUGAAAUGCGUAGAUAUCUGGAGGAACACCGGUGGUGAAGGCGGCAUCCUGGACCAACACUGACGCUGAGGAGCGAAAGCCAGGGGAGCAAACGGG
rnacentral:rRNA from 1 species